CCUACGGGUGGCAGCAGUGAGGAAUAUUGGUCAAUGGACGAGAGUCUGAACCAGCCAAGUAGCGUGAAGGAUGACUGCCCUAUGGGUUGUAAACCUCUUUUAUAUGGGAAUAAAAUGUUCCACGUGUGGGAUUUUGUAUGUACCAUAUGAAAAAGGAUCGGCUAACUCCGUGCCAGCAGCCGCGGUAAUACGGAGGAUCCGAGCGUUAUCCGGAUUUAUUGGGGUUAAAGGGAGCGUAGGUGGAUUGUUAAGUCAGUUGUGAAAGUUGGCGGCUCAACCGUAAAAUUGCAGUUGAAACUGGCAGUCUUGAGUACGGGAGAGGUAGGCGGAAUGCGUGGUGUAGCGGUGAAAUGCUUAGAUAUCGCGAAGAACUCCGAUUGCGAAGGCAGUUCACUGGACUGCAACUGACACUGAGGCUCGAAAGUGUGGGUAUCAAACAGGAUUAGAUACCCGAGUAGUC
rnacentral:rRNA from 1 species